CGAUAUAGCAUAUCAUUUUCGAUUAAAUUAAGGAUGUCAAGUUAGUAUUUUAAUAUAGUUAUUUUUUUAUUUCGAAAGAAUAAAUCAAAAAUAUAUUUUUUGUUUUCAUAAAGUUUUUUCAAUACGAUUUUUUUUCAUAAGAGGUAAACUUCUGUAUUUAUUGUAUUAUUUGUGUAUCAGUUUCAUGGAUAGGCCUUUACAUAAAUUUUUUGAGUGCUCCGGCGAAGGGCCUCGGCUCGACUAUCAAAUAUGGUUAAAGUGGACAUAUGAAAUGGAAGGCUGAGUACAAGCAACACACACGACUUUUAAUCUAAUAAUCUCAUAUUUAUUCAGAGAUGUCUUAAUACAUAGAAUGGUUAUUCAAUCUGCACUGUAGGUGUUCCGCCUUACCAGUGAGGGAUGAUAUGUGAGGAUGAAAGCAGAUCAGUUAAUGUAUCGUGACGAAUUCAACAAGAAUUAAUACUAUAUACGUUUCUGGGGAAAUACGUGGAGGUAUAUUCCUUAUAGGUAAUGUAACAUUUAGCAAAUAAAAAUAUUAAUAGGUAUUUAUUCUAUAUAUUUAAUAAAAAUAUUUAUAUAUGUAAAGGUUAUUUCAAUAAUAAAUUAAAAUUAUUUUGGCACACAACACAUUUAUUUUGGCUUCACAGAUUAUGGAGAUUGUUUUUCUUUUAUGUCCGUCAUCAUCUUUUGUUAUGCAGACAUUGACUGUAUUUUAAAUAAUUAGCAUUAUUUGUGUAUUUGUUGAUUGAUUAUAAUACAAUAUAUAUUUAUAAAAUAAAUUGCGACGUCUGUCCGCAUAAUUACUAUUUGCACGUAUUUCGAACAGUUAUCGUGUGACGCGAGCUAUCUACCGCACAUAUUGGAGGAUAAAAUAUCCAAAAUGGCGUUUGAGAAGGUGGGGAGGAGUCGCGCAUAGUCAGGAUUCGUAAAAAAAAAACUGACAGAAUUGAAAUUGACAAGAAUUGUGUAAGAAGUGGACUUAAUGUGAAGAAACCAGACUCGGAGAACGUUGAUGAAAAGAGAAAUGAUUUUAACAGAGAAACCAAAGCGAGAACAGGUACAAGAGGUAAGCAAGAAAAAGGACAAGAGCUAAGGUUUUAUGGUUCAUAAGAGAUGAGACUUAAUAAUUUAAUAAUGCAUCUAUAUUUCAGAGAAAUUACAAAUAUAUAAAAAUACAUAUAACUCAUGUAAUGAUGUCACCGUCCAUGAUUAUGAUAUGAGUGAAAUAGAUGAUCAUUUCAUGGAAAAGUACUCCUACAGAAUGAUCCAUGGGCGAGUUUAACCUCCAAAAUUUCUUACCAGAGACUUUGUUCAAGUCGACUGCAUGGCUACCUCUGUCCCACCCGUGUUCCCGCCGUGAAGCAGCUGCGCUCGCAUGGCUCGAAGGCUGGAAUAUGGCAGCGAGAUCACAAGACACGGAGGCACAACACCAUAGUCCUCGAGGGGGGAAGGGAUUGCUAGUAAUGCGGACUAUCAGCCCUAUUGCUAGCAAUAUACCCGAACAGGUCGACCUCCACGCGGUUCCCCCUGGAAACCAUCGUGACUAAUCAUUGUUCAAUUGGUCACGAUGGGCCAACUGGCCUGUGCCCAUGGCGUCCCGCCGGCGUACAUCGCUAGCGGAGGCGAGGCUGCCAUGGACACCACCACGCCAUUGUUCGUGGUGGAUUAAAAUAAAACUCUUAAUAGUUUAGUUAAGAACCUUUUUUUUUUUGUUUAUUGCUGAUUUGUAAAUAUCGCUCGUGGUGUUGGUGGUGGAGCGUCGCUGUGUUAAGUACUAUUUUGUAGCAUGCUGUCUCGAAAUCGUACCUGCCGACCGGUUCCCUUACCACCUCACCAAUGUGUUUUUCUAGUAAGAUCGUUUUUUCUAUAUACAAUAUUCAUUAUAUUUAGUUUGCCUCAAGCAUACAGCAUGUGUCCAAUAUAACAUGUGUCUAGUUAGAGUAGUGUAAGCAUUUCAUUUAAUAUAGGUUUUUUUUUCUAUUACUCGCCAUUGGCGUAAUGUAGCGUAAACAUUAUAACUAGACUCGAGUACGUUCCCCACUCGGCUGCGGUGUUCGGGGGCUGAUUGGGUGGUCUCCAACGAAGCGGCCGGGUGGAUGGUGUGUCGAGGGACGUCCGCCAUUAAAAAGUUUUAUUUCUCGUUUCAUUAAUUCUUUAGCGUAAGGUAUUGAAAACAUAACAUAUAUAUAUACAACUAAAUAUGUGAGUAGUUUAAGCAUUUCAUUUAAUUCAUAUUAUAGUUUUUUUUUUUCUUUUAUAUAUAAUGUAUUUAGCGUAAGGAAGUGUGACGCCUAAUUCGUGCAGCUUCCGCCUUGUCCCCGGAGGCUGCUGCUAAUUGUCUGGACAAACAGACGGUCACCGUUUAGUAUGUAGUUUUCUUAUUAUAAUUAGGUUAUUAAACGCGAGCAGUGAAAUGGUUAAUACACUGUAAUAUUAGCUUUUAUAUACAACUUUCUAAUUCUUGUCAGAAUAAACAUUUGAUAGUCUAAGCAUUUGUUAGUUUAAGCGUUUGUUAGUUUAAGCAUUGGUUAGUUUAAGCAUUGGUUAGUGUAAGCGUAUGUUUCCAGACCGUCGUUAUUCUGUAGAAGCUGAGAGAGUUUCUCGGCGCAUGCUUCCAACGCAGGUGGCAACGAUAGGCUACUAUGAAAUUGGGAUCAUCUUUGUGGCUUUGGCAGGUUCCAGCCAGCAAGGGUGUACAGGCACCUCCUGUGGCGGGCAUACGCUGACAAACUUUCAGCUUACUGGAUAACGGAAGUCUAUUAAUUUUAAGUAACUUUCAUUAGUAAUUCCUUUUCUUAAUUUCUCUAAAUAAAUAGUUUUCAUUUAUA